GUGCCGAUCGUUGGUUGGGUCAGGCGUGUUUCUCGCGGCUGUUAUAUUUUAUUUUGAGCUUGUAAUAAGGUAUAUCGCAUUUUAUUAUUCUUUAUCGACUACAUUUAGCUAUUAUUGACGUGUUUAGUGUUUUAUUACAAAGGCGUUAAUAACAUAUAGUGUAAACUCUUUAAAACGAUACUUACUGAGAUUAGUUGAUUUAAGAACGGAUUUUACUCAACCCGUUAUUUGCCACAACACCAAUCUUCUUGUAUAUAUUUCGAAGUCAUUAUCAAAAAAGGUUAUAAGUGUUUACAAUGUAUGGCACAUUUAAUCGCUUCACGACUGUUGCUGAAAACUAGCGGAGUUGUCUCUGUAUUUCUUGUUGGUGCACUGUUGGCAUCUCUAGAGAUGUCAAAUUAAAUUCUCUAUGGGGUUGUAUUAGUUUGUUGCAGAAGUUGCGUCUGCAACAUGUGUAAAUUCGAAGGUGAAAAUUUCAAGAGAAAAAUUGUUGCGGUUUUUUGGUAUAGGUCGCAAAGCGCAGUGUAUAGAGAAGUCGAAUUUGAUUCUCGGCGCGGUUGUCAUUGUUCUUUACAAAAGCUUCGGCUGCAGUGCGCGGUGGUAGAUUGUGUAGGUACGUGUUAUCCUGUCUUCCACAUUUUCUUUCUUUUGAGUCCUUUGCGUUAUAUAUGUAAAAUUAUUAUUUCUAACUGUUAACGGUCUCAAAGACGUACUGUCUUAAGAAACGCAAUUCGAAUUGAAACGCAAUCUAAUAUUUCGUCGAUAAGUUUAUAAUAAUGUAAUUUUAUAAUUAAUGUAUUAAUGUAUAUAUAUAUAUAUAUAUAUACUAGCUGACCCGGCAAACUUUGUUCUGCCUUGCUUUUCACGUGCAAUGCUUGUUCUUCUUCAGUCCUUUCAUUCGCAAUCCUUUGAAUCCUAGUUGCAUUACGGUUUUGUCGGAUAAGAUUUGAUCGUUUUGGUCGCUGCAUGGGAAGCUACGAAGCAUCGCACAAAGAAGAGACGGAGAAAACUCUUUUAGUAUCUUCCAAAAAAGUUUUCACUUCAAAAAAUAUUAAAAAAAGUAUCCUACACUUACUAUGUCCUAUUCAAACAAACACAUCAAUCGGGCAACUUCAACCAACACGUACACACACACUCAGGGGGAAGCUACUAAUCGCACAAUGAGGAGACGUUAUUAGUGCGCUCUUUGUCUCCCGUAGGCUAAACCAUAUAAGCGAAUAUGUUUGUUUCCUUUUAGUGUCGUUUAGUGUUCUCUAAAAGAGUUUUCACUUCAAAAAGUAUCCUAGUAACCUUCUCCAAACAAAAACAUCAACCGGUCAAUUUCAACCCACACCUACAACAUACACACGUCUAUGCUACGAAGCAUCGCACAAAGGGAGACGGGGAUAACAGAAAACUUUGUAUUUGCGUUCUCUUAUUCUCCCGCAAGAUAAUCCAUAUACGCAAAUAUGUUUGUCUCUUUUUAGUGUCGUUUAAUGCCUUUUUAGAAAAGUUUUCACUUCAAAAAGUAUCCUAUUACCAUCUCCUGGCCCUAAGCUACCUCUCCACCAAUUUUUAGCUAAAUUGGAUUAGCCGUUCUUUAGUUAUAAAGGAGUUAACCAACACGACUUUCUUUUAUAUAUAUAGAUGUAUGUAUUAAUGUACGGAAAACCUGCAAAAAUGUCAUUUUUGUGCUUCAAUAUGCUAAUUUUAAGAGGUAUUAUGUGUCCAGCGGACGAACGCAAGGUCCUAGGACAACGGUUCUUGCAUUAGAUUGUAAUAAAUUUGUUUAUCAUUUUCAUGAGUAAUUUGUGCGAUUAGCACACGGGAAUCUUGCAAUAACGUCAUUUUUGUGCUUCAAUGUGCUAAUUUUUGGUUGUUUUAGGAUUCUAGCCAGCCAACGAAAAAUCCUAGGACAGCGAUUUUUUUAUCAGAUUGUAAAUAUUGAAUUGAUUUAUCAAUUUCAUAAUUCAUUUGUGUGGAUAGCACACGGAAUAUCUACAAAAAUGUAAUUUUUGUGCUUAGAUGUGCUAAUUUCUAAUUGUUUUAGGUGUCCAGCGAGCGAACGAAAAGUCCUAGGACAGCAAUUCUUUCAGCAGAUUAUGUCUAGCGGGUAAACUAAAUAUGUCCUAGGACAACGAUCCUUUCAUCAGAUUGUAAGUAUUCAAUUCGUUUAUCAUUUUUGUAAAUAAUUUUCAUGUUUCAUACAAUGGAAAGCCGAUGUCGUAAGACAUCCAUUAUUUCAUGUGAUUCUAAGUGUUCUAGUUAUUUACCAUUGUCAUAUACAAAAUUUGUGUUUAAUACUAAGGUAAGCCACAAAAGUGCUAUUUCACCACAGUACGUUAAUUAAAAAUCCUUUUACCAAAUUUUUUUUGUAAACUUCACCUCAUAACUUGAUAACUUGCAAUAUAUUUGUGAGUUGUAACAGCCCAGGGACGUGCACAACGAAUGAUUUGAGUGAUUCUUUGAGAUGCGCGCGUGGAGUUCGUCGGAUAUGUUUCGGUGACUAUGGACUUACUGUGACUUACUGGAGCUCAAGUUAAAUUUAUGUGUUAGACGUGACUGCAUUUGGAAUCUUCGCGUGGAAUACUAUAGAAGUGCGUAUCAUCAAAUAAAACUUAACUUAACUUUAAAUUUUAAAAUCCUAUAGUUACCUUGUUAUUGCUUCAGUCAAUAAAUAAUAUUUUUAACGAAA